rnacentral:rRNA from 1 species
CGGGUAAUCUGCCCUCGAUUCUGGGAUAGCCCGGGGAAACCCGGAUUAAUACCGGAUAGCCUCUCGAGCUUUCGAGCUCGUGAGAAAAGGUAGCUUCGGCCUCCGAUCGAGGAUGAGCCCGCGGCGGAUUAGCUUGUUGGUGGGUAAUGGCCUACCAAGGCUACGAUCCGUAGCUGGUCUGAGAGGACGAUCAGCCACACUGGGACUGAGACACGGCCCAGACUCCGUACGGGAGCAG